rnacentral:rRNA from 1 species
UACAGAGGUCCCAAGCGUUGUUCGGAUUCACUGGGCGUAAAGGGUGCGUAGGUGGUCAGGUAAGUCGGAUGUGAAAUCUCCGAGCUCAACUCGGAAGCUGCAUUGGAAACUACCUGGCUCGAGGGUUGGAGGGGGGACUGGAAUGCUUGGUGUAGCAGUGAAAUGCGUAGAUAUCAAGCGGAACACCAGUGGCGAAGGCGAGUCCCUGGACAACUCCUGACACUGAUGCACGAAAGCUAGGGGAGCAAACAGG